rnacentral:rRNA from 1 species
AGAGUUUGAUCCUGGCUCAGGAUGAACGCUAGCUACAGGCUUAACACAUGCAAGUCGAGGGGCAGCAUGACCUAGCAAUAGGUUGAUGGCGACCGGCGCACGGGUGAGUAACACGUAUCCAACCUACCGGUUAUUCCGGGAUAGCCUUUCGAAAGAAAGAUUAAUACCGGAUAGUAUAACGAGAAGGCAUCUUCUUGUUAUUAAAGAAUUUCGAUAACCGAUGGGGAUGCGUUCCAUUAGUUUGUUGGCGGGGUAACGGCCCACCAAGACAUCGAUGGAUAGGGGUUCUGAGAGGAAGGUCCCCCACAUUGGAACUGAGACACGGUCCAAACUCCUACGGGAGGCAGCAGUGAGGAAUAUUGGUCAAUGGACGAGAGUCUGAACCAGCCAAGUAGCGUGAAGGAUGACUGCCCUAUGGGUUGUAAACUUCUUUUAUAUGGGAAUAAAGUGAGCCACGUGUGGCUUUUUGUAUGUACCAUACGAAUAAGGAUCGGCUAACUCCGUGCCAGCAGCCGCGGUAAUACGGAGGAUCCGAGCGUUAUCCGGAUUUAUUGGGUUUAAAGGGAGCGUAGGCGGACUAUUAAGUCAGCUGUGAAAGUUUGCGGCUCAACCGUAAAAUUGCAGUUGAUACUGGUCGUCUUGAGUGCAGUAGAGGUAGGCGGAAUUCGUGGUGUAGCGGUGAAAUGCUUAGAUAUCACGAAGAACUCCGAUUGCGAAGGCAGCUUACUGGACUGUAACUGACGCUGAUGCUCGAAAGUGUGGGUAUCAAACAGGAUUAGAUACCCUGGUAGUCCACACAGUAAACGAUGAAUACUCGCUGUUUGCGAUAUACGGCAAGCGGCCAAGCGAAAGCAUUAAGUAUUCCACCUGGGGAGUACGCCGGCAACGGUGAAACUCAAAGGAAUUGACGGGGGCCCGCACAAGCGGAGGAACAUGUGGUUUAAUUCGAUGAUACGCGAGGAACCUUACCCGGGCUUAAAU